UACGUAGGCAGCGAGCGUUGUUCGGAGUUACUGGGCGUAAAGGGCGCGUAGGCGGCUUGAUAAGCGUGCGGUGAAAGCCCGGGGCUCAACCCCGGGUCGGCCGUGCGAACUGUCGAGCUGGAGCACUGUAGAGGCAGGUGGAAUUCCGGGUGUAGCGGUGGAAUGCGUAGAGAUCCGGAAGAACACCGGUGGCGAAGGCGGCCUGCUGGGCAGUGACUGACGCUGAGGCGCGACAGCGUGGGGAGCAAACAGG
rnacentral:rRNA from 1 species